rnacentral:rRNA from 1 species
GACGAACGCUGGCGGCGUGCCUAAUACAUGCAAGUUGAGCGCUGAAGGUUGGUACUUGUACCAACUGGAUGAGCAGCGAACGGGUGAGUAACGCGUGGGGAAUCUGCCUUUGAGCGGGGGACAACAUUUGGAAACGAAUGCUAAUACCGCAUAAAAACUUUAAACACAAGUUUUAAGUUUGAAAGAUGCAAUUGCAUCACUCAAAGAUGAUCCCGCGUUGUAUUAGCUAGUUGGUGAGGUAAAGGCUCACCAAGGCGAUGAUACAUAGCCGACCUGAGAGGGUGAUAGGCCAAAUUGGGACUGAGACACGGCCCAAACGCCUACGGGAGGCAGCAGUAGGGAAUCUUCGGCAAUGGACGAAAGUCUGACCGAGCAACGCCGCGUGAGUGAAGAAGGGUUUCGGAUCGUAAAACUCUGUUGGUAGAGAAGAACGUUGGUGGGAGUGGAAAGCUCAUCAAGUGACGGUAACUACCCAGAAAGGGACGGCUAACUACGUG